rnacentral:rRNA from 1 species
GACGAACGCUGGCGGCGUGCUUAACACAUGCAAGUCGAACGAUGAAGCGGAGCUUGCUCCGUGGAUUAGUGGCGAACGGGUGAGUAACACGUGAGCAACCUGCCCCUAACUCUGGGAUAACGCUUCGAAAGGAGUGCUAAUACCGGAUAUGAGCCUGGAAGACAUCUUCUGGGUUGGAAAGUUUUUCGGUUAGGGAUGGGCUCGCGGCCUAUCAGCUAGUUGGUGAGGUAAAGGCUCACCAAGGCGACGACGGGUAUCCGGCCUGAGAGGGCGACCGGACACACUGGGACUGAGACACGGCCCAGACUCCUACGGGAGGCAG